rnacentral:rRNA from 1 species
CAGCCGCCGCGGGAAUACAGAGGGUGCGAGCGUUAAUCGGAUUUACUGGGCGUAAAGCGUGCGUAGGCGGCUUCUUAAGUCGGAUGUGAAAUACCUGAGCUUAACUUAGGAAUUGCAUUCGAUACUGGGAAGCUAGAGUAUGGGAGAGGAUGGUAGAAUUCCAGGUGUAGCGGUGAAAUGCGUAGAGAUCUGGAGGAAUACCGAUGGCGAAGGCAGCCAUCUGGCCUAAUACUGACGCUGAGGUACGAAAGCAUGGGGAGCAAACAGGAUUAGAUACCCCUGUAGUCCCUGUCUCUUAUAC